rnacentral:lncRNA from 1 species
UGGACGGACUGACGGAAGGAAUCUUGUAGUUACUUGUUCCUUGGCCGGCGUUGACUAUACUUUUGUUUUAUCUUCUUUUUUUUUUUAUCUAAAGCUGUUCAUCUUUUUUAUAAGCUUUUAAUUUUCAAAUAGUUUUAGGCUCGAGCAUCAAUGAAGAUACAUUUAUUGUAGAAAUGCGCAUUUGGUAAAGAAAAAUUGGUACUGUUAAUGGUACACAUUUAGUUGGAAUAUCACAGUUACUUUAUAGGAGAUUUAUUAAGCAAAAGAGUUCCGAUACAAUCAAAGCCACCUCAUAAGAUUCAUCACAAGAUAAAACGUUUUAAAAAUGAUUAAAAAUUAAAAUGAUUCUUAUGAUAAAAUGAGUCGAAGUACAGCAUUGUGUAAACGGACGAGAUUUUGUUUUACAGAAAUUAUCACUGCCUAUUAGUAUUUAUGGAAUAACUUUCACCAGGUAUGCUUGUAACCUAAAGUGUGGAAAGCAAACUACUAGUAAAUAUCACUUUCUGGGGAAUAAAGUCCAGACUAAAAUAUGGAAAGCAAAUAACAACGGUAGAAAUCAUAAACAACUAAUAAAAGAA